ACUCAUACUUCGUACAUGUUCGAUCAAACACAUGCGGACCGUUUGUUCGUUUAUUCCGUCGCUUUAGAGCCAAAGCUGCUGGUGACCACAAACUCGGCUUAGUGCAGCAAACAGUUUAAGCCGAAACAUUGACGAGUUAACAACGAUGAGCGGUUGAAAUGGUGUUGGUUAUUGUGGAAACUAAAAAGUGUUGUAUACAGCUAACAAAAACAACAAUGAUGGGCAGAAAUGAAAGCAAAUUAAUUGUAAACUAUAAGUGAUGAAUGCGCUUGCGCCAACGACAAUGGGCAAUAGUGGCUAAUCAGUGAUCGGAAGAUUAAAAAAAAUAAUAAAAUGAAAUAAAUAAAUCCUAAAACAAAUAGAAAAAAGUGUGUAGUGUUAUUAGUGUUGAAUUUUAUGGCGCAAUGAUGCUUAGUUUCUAUUAUUGAUUAAGCCGAGCCAAUUUCAAACCGUCUCAUUGAGUUUUAUAUAAUUGUGAAAAUAUUGAAAUAAACGUAUUACUUGUUUAUUGUGUUUAAAGUGAUAAGUAAAAAUAUUACGAUUCUACGACAAAGAAAAAAAAUCAGCCAAUACGAAAACGAAAUCGAUAAAAUAUAUAAUAGAAAAGCGAAAAAGUGUACGAAGUGUAUUUAUAUGCGGCGCCGCGCAGGCGCAUGCCAAAGUGCAAAGUGUAAUUGCCAUACAAUGAAAUUAAUCAAUUAAUUGCAACAGUGUGCAAAGCGAGAAAAUAAAUAUGUAAAUUGCCUGCGCCAAUUAAAGAAUAUAAAGAAUAUCAAAGUGCAAGAAACUAGUGCAGAGCAAUAAAAAUGCCACACAACAAAUUGCAGCGCAAGCCAUCCAGCGAGACGCUCGCCAGCAUGGCAUUGGAUAGUACGCUGGACUCGCGCAUGUCCAGCGCCGAAAUACCGCAAAUGGAAUUGCUCAAGGUGAACUAUGUGCAACAGUGCAAGGAAGUGCGCAUGCCGCGGCCCACCGCUGCAACGGCGCAACAAAAGCGCCACGCGCUCAUGGCUGUAGGCGCCAAAUAUCCAGGCUACAAGGAGGCUAUUGACAGUAGUCACAAUCAGUUUGUUGGCGCCAAAGCAAAUAUAAACCAUCAAUGUAAUUCAAAUGUGAGCGCGCUCAAUGCACCGCAACGCGUCGCACCGCUUAAGAGCAAUAUGUCAGCGCGCACAAAGCAACCGCUGCCGCCGCCCACCAUUGAGUCGUGGCAGUUUUUGCAACAUCAAAUGCCGCAAGCAAAAGCUCAAUAUCCGCAACAACAGCAACAAAAGUUGGCGUGCACUGCCCCUCCCUCCAAAUUACAGGCGCAGCAAGCGCCAACACAUGCCACUACUAGCGCGAACAAAGCCGCACACUCUGAUGACGAUCAAGAUUAUGUGGAUGUACAGUCGUGUUGCAACUCCUCCUGUGAAUCUGCCACGCUGUCUUCAGCUUCCUCAGAUGAAGAUUUAGAUGAUGGCGCCUCUACGGUGUAUCCUGAUUGCGAGAAAUCACAUAGCUGGAACUAUCGUGCGCGCAUCUCUACUUGUGAUAUACGCCGCGAUAUUGCGCGCGCUGGUAUAAAGUCGCGCGCCGACCGCAUAGCGCGUAUUGAAAAAACGGACGCCGAGCCUCAACAACAGCAAAGCGCAACGGUUGGUUUAGUUGCUGGUGAAAAGCAGUCUACAGCGCAGACCGCUUCACAGCAACAACACUGCGGCAACAAGCAAAUACCGGCAGCUGCCUCAGUGCCAACCGCUUCACAGCAAGGUGGCGGCAAGCCAAUACCGGCAGCUGUAACGCAAAUUAAUCGGCUCUUCGAGCAAGCAAAACGACCGGAACAGAGGCGUUCAACAAAGCAACAUCGCGCGCCAGCACCGCCGCAAUCAAGUAAUGCAACGCAAACUACUACAGUAACGCAACCAUUACGCGCGGCGCCAACGCCCAUAAAGGAACCCAAUAUGCGCAUGCGCGCGCGCGAUAUGUUGCCGCGCAUUGACGAGCGCUCCAGCGCGUCUGGUGAUUGCUAUGAUUGCAUGUUGGAAAGUAAUAACAACGCAAGCGAAGAUCAAAAAGUGCGCGUUAACGCUGAAGCAGCGCGCCUACCGCGCUCGUCACCUGAACAGCGGCAACAAGUGUCGCGCAUACCGAAACCCAUAAGUGAAGCGCCACAGCAACAAAUACAACAGCAACGAAUGCAACAGCAACAAACACAAAAACAACAAGAACAACAACAACAACAAACACACAAACAACAAGUACAACAGCAACAACCACAACAGCAACAACCACAACAGCGACACUCUAGCAACUCCGCGCUGCUCUACAAUGAGGCAAAUGAGCAACUGCAACGGCGCAUACGCCAAAUGUUCGAUCAUGAGCAGGCGCGCACACAUCAGCUACAGCGACAAGUUACCGACGAGUUUCGCAUGCAAUGCGCGGGUGAGAAAAUAAAACUGCGCGCCACUAAAUCGAACGCACUCGAAGCGGCAGAUAAACCUGAACGCGGUAAUAUGCGUAAGUCUGAUAGCUGCGAUGAGCUCGAUAAGAUCGAUAAGCACCUGUCCAAGCAGACGCGCCAGCACGUUGCGACCAAUUUUCAAAAGAUCAAAAUGGAGCGCGUACAUAUACGUAAGAAACGCCAGCCGCUGCUUAUAAUUAAUCAGCUCAAUGAGUCAAAAGCUGAUAAUAACGACAGAACAUUGGAGGAAAGCGCGCACGAAAUGCGUGAAACGAAAUGCAACGCGUUACACAAGCCAACGAAGGAAGCAGCUGCGAAGCCUACGCACGACGCCAGCCGACGCACAUGCGGCUACAAGAACUGCACCUUCACCAACUGCCCCAUGUCGGCCGCGAGCAAGCCAGCUGGCGGCAGCAGCGGCACGAGCACGCCACAGCAAUCCGAUGAGGAGUUGAAUACGCGCAAGCGCCUGUCGCUCGAGAGCUGCUGCUCAGACUCUGGCGUCUCCUCGUCCACCGACAUUAAGGAGCGCAAAACCAAGGAGAACAACAUGAAGAAUAUCGAGAAAUGCGCGGACUGUGUGAAAAUACUGCUACACCAAACGAGCGCCGACACAACCGUAAUGCAGCACAAGCUGAACCUAACCACAACUGCGCCAGUGCCAAAGCUGAAGGAACUGGAUGGUGACUUGCAGAAGGAGGGGCAAAUUAAGAUACGCGUCGGCAAAGCGCCCGGCGGCGAUCCGAACGAUUUGCAAAAUUUCGCAAAAAAAAAUCUCACAAAGGCCACGACGGAUGAGCUAUUAACCGCGGCCGUGGCGAAAAACAACAUGUGCAACAAAGUGGGCGCUGCUGAUAAGUUGUCUAACCGGACUGUGGCCGCAAGCGCCAGCCAUGCCGCCAACCACACCAAACAGUGCAACAUCGAAAAUGACCUCAAAAUCAACGAACAGCGCAUUUACAAUAACACGAGUUGCUGCAGCAGCAGCAACAACAACAGCAAUCACAGUUGUGGUGGCAACAAACUGAACGGUAGUGAACGCCAACCGUUAUGUGCAACAACAAUAAAAAUCGAUGAUAAUUGGUUGCACGCGCAACAAAAUACCUGCGAUUUGGACUCGUUGAUGGUGCCGCCAUCGCCACCGCUGCGCGUCUCCUCCAAAGCGGCAAGCGCACGUCAACAGGCCACGAGUAACAACGGUAAACACAGCGCUAUUGGUGAUAACGAUAAACACAGUGUAAAGAUUUUCGUGCGCAGCUCCAGUAACAGCGGCGGCGUGGGCGUCAAUCCAGCGCGCGCCUCAUCCGUAUCCAUGUGCUCAUACACUUCGCAGACCUCGGGCUGCUCGAUGAAUUCAGAAGCCUCUGCGCUCACUAGCGCCAGCAAAGCGUCAACAUCUGGCAGCUCCUACACAACGAUUUCGAGCAGCGCUUCGAGUAGUGAAGGCAAAUGUAAUUGUCAGCGAGCGCGGCGUAACGCCAACGCGGUGGCAAAAAAUCAGUUAGACGAGCGAGCAGAUGAAUCCGAGGAUACCGACUACUAUUGCAGUCUAGAGCACAUGCAUAAAGCAGGCAUUUUUUACAAUCACAUCUCAGGCGGUACAAAAAGUAGCCGCGGCACACAGAGCGACACGUUGCGUGCAUGCGCCUCCUCACCAACGCCCUCAAUGGGCACCUUCAGUGAGGUUAGCUGCGUUGCGUGCGGCGAUGAGCGCGAACAGCAAGCAAAAAGCCGUCAAAGCAUAGGCAGCAACGGUCCUAUUGACGGCGUCUUCUGGAAUAACACAUAUUUUCAACAAGACGCUGAUGCAACUUUAGAGAACGCUGGCAAUGUGCCACACAAAAAGCGCUCCUUAACAGACGGCGCGCCAGCUGAGCACAGCGAACCGAGUAGCGAUGACAACGAGCAUUGCUGCUGCAGUCUAACUAGCUGUGAUGAUGACAAUUGUUCUUACUAUGAGUGCGGUGGCGGUGUGCAAACGGAUGAUGAUCAUUGCGUGUCGCGCAUCGAAGUGCACGCCAGCGUGCAUACGCCGAGCGGCGAUAGUGAAAGUAAUAAUGAUGAUUAUAAAGCGGCAGCUGGCAAUAAAAGUAAAAGCGUUGUGGCUGCUAAUAACGUUUGUAAUUGUGACGCGCGUCAUUACUGUGCGGAAAAAACGAGUGCAAAAGAUAAAUAUGCGCUCGAGGUGGAGCGGCAGCAUGCGCGGGAGCGUGAGCGCUAUGCCGCGCGCCAACAGCAACAGCAGGAACAGCAGUGGCUGCGGCAACGCAUGCGCGAACGCGAACGGCAAAUGCAAUUCAUACGAAACAGCAGCGCAGAGGAGAUACUGAUACGCAAUAAAAAGCUGUUGAGGAAGGCUGAUUUAAUACAUGAAUUUCGACCACGAUCGAUGGAUGGUGUCAUUGACUCAUCUUCGGGCUCAUUAAAUGGUGAUACCACCGGUUCAAGUCCAGAUAGUGCGAGUCAUUUACAAAAUCAGCAGGACGCCGAAGCGCGACGCGUACAUCGAGGUCAUGUACUCACCGAACUACUGGAAACAGAACGGAUUUAUGUAAAUGAAAUGGCCUCUAUUCUAAAGGGCUAUCGUGAUCAAAUGCUAUCUGAAGAAAUGAUGCAUCUUGUACCCGCCAGCCUGCAAGGCAAAGAGGAUAUACUGUUCGGCAAUUUAAACGAAUUAUAUACGUUUCAUAAUGAGAUCUUCCUUAAGGAUCUGGAAAAUUGUAUAUCAACAACAGAGUUGGUGGCGCUAUGUUUUGUUCAGAGGCGCGACACCUUCUAUCGUUUGUACUCUUUCUACUGCCAAAAUAUACCGCGCUCCGAUCGAUUGCGCGAGACGCUCGUCGAUACACAUCUCUUCCUGCAAGAAUGUCAAAAGCGUUUGGGACACAAACUGCCAUUGGGCGCUUAUCUGCUGAAGCCCGUGCAGCGCAUUACCAAGUACAAAUUACUGCUCGAGAAUUUGCUCAGCUCCAGCGACAGCGGCAGCUGUACCAAAGAAUUGCAAAAAGCCUUAGAUUGCAUGUUGAUUGUGUUGCGUUGUGUGAACGACUCGAUGCAUCAAGUGGCUAUAACGGGAUUCCCGAGCAAUCUUUCGCAACAAGGCGAACUGCUGCUGCAGGAUCCCUUUCAAGUGUGGACCGAGUCGAAAAAGGAUUUGCGACUGCGCAAGAAACCGCAACAGCGACACAUAUUUCUCUAUCAAAAGUCGAUGAUUUUCUGCAAGAAAACCUCAAAGCCCGGUCACAACAAGAGCACUUAUCAGUUCAAGCAUCAAUUGAAGAUGUCACAAAUCGGGCUCACCGAAUCGGUACGCGGCGAUUCCACACGCUUCGAAGUCUGGCUGCAAGGACGCCAAGAAGUCCACACGAUACAAGCGCCCGGCGAAGAGGUUAAAAACAAGUGGGUCACCGAAAUCAAACGUCUGCUACUGAACCAGCUGGAAGAGCUGAAGGGUGAGAAAAUCAAACAGUACAGCAUGAAUCAUCAUGGCCUCAGACAGACCACCUCAUGGGACACGCCCAACAUACUGCUGGGCAUGCCACAGCGCGCCGUCAGCUGCGAUGCAUCUUCGGAGUCGUCGAAUCGCAAUUCCAACUGCAGCAGUAGCGGUGAUGAUGCUUACCCGCACGGCAUACCGCAACUGAGCACGACGACGGGCAAUGGCCACGCGCAUGCGCAUGCCAACGGCGGUAGCGGCGUGGAUAAGGAACAGCAAGAAGCAUGCGGCUGGAGCUCGGACUACUCGAACAGUGAGGACGAAAUGUCGAUCAUUGAGGAUAACAGCGCGCCGCGUUUUAUGAAUUUUCUGUCUCAGUGGACCUACAAUGCCGAUAGUAAUGGUGGUGGCUCUUAUCCGCGUAGCAGUAAGUCAAAUUCCAAAUUCUAUGUCUCCGUCGAGCACUGAGCAGCUGAGUAAGCCAGGUUCAAGAGCAGAGAAUUCCGAAAAAUACAAAAUAGCAUACAACAACAAAAUGGAUGGCGCACCAACAAAUUACCAAAACCAAAACGAAAAAAGGCAGUAAAUUUGUUGCCCUUGCCGAUUAUGCGGCUAUGGGACACUCGGAGGUCUCAAUGCGCGAAGGUGAUGCGAUUGAAUUGUUGAAGGUGGGCUGUGCUGGCUGGUGGUUUGUGCGUGUUUUAGAAGCCAAUGCAGAGGGUUGGACUCCAGCGGCAUAUUUGGAACCGCUCAAUCGAAAAUCUUCUCGAAGCUCGAGCCGCAAUCAGGAGCGAAUAAACUUAACCAAAUGUGCUGAGUAAAUUAACAAACAACAAAAACAAAACAUAAAUUUAUUAAGCGGUACGAAGUA